GUUGGUUCUCCGUAGCACGUGCAGCUAUACUGCCACUGCAUGGCUCCCAGCAUCUCGCGCGUUGGUCCAUAAAGAACCUAACAGUUUCGAUCAAUGAUCUUUUGACAUGAUUGUGCGUUAUAUAUACAGCAGACCAAACGUCUUGGAUAAAGACCGAUCAGGGUUGGUCUAAUACUAUUAGUUCGGGUUUACUCUAGGACGGUAUCGGUCCCACAAACUGGUAAGGCUAUUGGUGGUAUCGCUGAGUAGCAGGCAGCCAUACCACGAACCGUGGCGAGAAUAGAGGGCCGGGAAAAUACUAGGAAUUGUGUAAGAAAAGAAUGCUGUAACAUUGCAUUGUACAUAUACAGUGUUUGUUUUAGCUGUAACCGACUCGGCUGUAUACACGAUUUAUGCAUAUACAGGUCAGUAGCAGGAAUAUAGAAUUUGUGUGUACGGUAACGCAUGUGACAAGGAUUUUUUUAUGAAUGAACGUUCGGCUUUGCUGCACGCGCACCAGUGUUUUGUGUGUAGCUGUAUCAGUGUGGCUGUGUUGUAGCUACUGAGUACACGUUCUCAGCUGACUUCCGUCACAGCCACGGAGUUUACACACCGCUAGUGAAUCAGUUGUACAACAUUAUCGGAGAUCACUGAUGUCGCCCUCAUAACCAGAACUAGAUGGAUGUGGUGCAGAGAAGGAAGCGUUCUGGACUUAUUUCCGAAUAGUGAUACGAUGACCACGCAGCACGCAGAGCAUCUGCCAUGGUGUAUCUACCAAAUCUAAAUACAAUGGUGACCGCGAUCUUAUGGGUGGUGAACCUUACGCUAGGCUACUGUCCGGACGACCUCCUCAGCGAGGUGUUUACGUGUCUCCACAACCUCACGUACGGUAGCGGCGAUAGCAUGCUCAUCACGGGCGCAGACGCAGAUCGCAUGCAACGUCACUGCCGACACGGUGAUCUAGACGAUUCAGUUGAUUGCCUUAACAAGAUAUAUAGCCAAUGUACCAGUCCGAGGGACUUCGAAAGGUUACGUAAAUUCGCCGACCCGGACGCAUGGAGGUCGGGGUUCCAAAGAUUUUGCAGUAAUACAGAUUUCUAUGUGGAGCGGCGGACAUGCGUUACAAAACUAGACAAGGAGCUGGAAAAGUGUAUAAAACGGCACGAGGAUUUCACCCUACAAUCAACCGAAAAAAUGGCCUCUUAUUCUCACGAUCAAAUAGAGGAACGCGAAAAUCACAGGAUAGAACAAAUCUGCCGGUUUUUCCAUGGGGCGAAUCAAUGUUUGAAUUCGGACAUCGGGUCUAAGUGCGGCCCGGAGAUUAGUGCCAUCCUAUCGGACUUUGCAGGGGGUAUAAUGCCGCCUGUAUGCAGGGGAUUUACAUUUGACACUUCGUCAGCAUCACAGAUUGAAUUAUCUUCUCUUGGAUUUAUUUUUAUUUUCGCGCUUUUAAUAUUUCAUAAAUGUUUGGUAUAGUCUUGACGCUUUUGUUCGUGAUAUAAACACCCCGACGGAUUUAUUUUUCUACACCAUGACUGUCAUCUUUUCUUCACCUAGAAUUUGGGACCCUUUGCUCAAAGUCAACUGGGACCAUUGAAUUGGCUGAUGUCAUGCCUUCAUCAGUAUCUGUUUUACGUCUCUGUGUUGGAAAUUAUUUUUCGGAUUUGAAACUGAUGAAUUCUCCUGGUGUUCAUAUCAUGGGAAAUGUGUGAUUGUUACGUGACACAGAUAUUGAUGUCUUUUUCACUUCAAAUGAUGUUGUUUCGUGGGAAAUUUACAUCCGACUUUUCUUCAAAAUGGAAGUUUUUGUGAAAGGAUACCCGUUUUCAAAUGGAUACACGGCUACGAGGUUACACGUAGAACACGGAUACACCAAGUGCUGGUUUAAAGUUGAGGUGGCUGAACAUGUUAUUGUGAUAGAUAUACUCACCACGCGUAAUGUAUUCGCGUCAAUCUGGAUGCUAAUAGCUGUAAAUAAUGAAGUGUUGCACAGUUAAAUGGGUGAUUAGAAACGCAUGCAAUAUUUUUCCAUGUUAAAUGAUUUUUUUUUUUAAAUGCAAACGAUAUCAAAGUUGCUACCCGGACGUGUUUAUUUCAUGUCGAUAUGUCAAUUUCAUCAUCUUGUCAGAAACACGACGGCCGUGAUUGGUUUAAAAACGGAAUCAUGAAACUGAAUACUGUAGCUUUCCGGAAAUCACCGAAUAUUGAACUUAUUGUCUUACGGAAAUAAACUAGUUACUGUAUCGCCUUAGACCGGACGUUGCUCAAGGGAAACAAAAAGGCUAAAAUAGUUUUUGAUUUCCGGAUAUAUUAGAACAUAAUUGGUAUCAACUUCCGGCGGAUGUGGCUGCACCGGAAACGAAUGCAAGGUGGAUAGUUUGACGAACGAAGUAUUGGAGAGUGGCAUAUUGGAGUCCCCUGAACGAACCAUGUUGUCUGAGCAUUGGCAAAUCAUCAAAAUGAAACAUUCGUGAUUCAUCGAGCCUUUCCGUGAUAUUUCCAACAAGCACGAUUCCAGGACGGUUUCUCCAAGAAAAUGAACAUCGAAUCUCCUCUUUUGAGCAGGAGAAGUUGAAUCUAACCGUUUUCUUUGUUGAAGAUUCCUUCCUUUUCGAUGGCAUUCAAUACCCCAUCAAGGAAUGCAAACGCUAUGGACGAAAAACUGUUCAAGUAGGAAUGAAAAAAAAUAUUUAAAGUUAAUUUAGUUUUACAAAAAUGACGAAGCAAGUUAUAAACUGAUCACGUUUGCUGACCUCGAUGAAAUGCUGACCCCAAUGGAAGCAUGCAGGGAGUCUUCAGGAUCCUACUUCAGGAUCCCUACUCCUACUUCAGGAUCCCUACUUCAGGAUCCCUACAGCACUGCCAACAACUGUAACAAUGCACUUGUAUUUUCCCCGGCAUCUUUAAUGAGUCAUUUCUAAAACAACAUACUAAAUUGUCAGUAGAGCGACAAGGAUUCUUAACACCGGAAGACAUCAGAGUAAGGAGAGAAAACCAACGUUAUCGGGUAGGUGGCUGCCAAAGUUCAAUUCGGAAAUCGAACCCCGGCCGUAUUGGUGAAAUGCGAAUACGCUAGCUACUGCGCCAACGACCUACCAUUUCCAUUUUGUGCGUUCAGUAUUUACAGUUAGAGAGUUACGCACGUGCGUUAUAUUGACUGUGAAUAUGUCUGUAGCAAUCCAAUUAUAAGGUCAAUUUGUUUCCGGAUGAACUCAAAGGUCAAAUUUCAGACAUAUCUCGGGUGAGGCCACGUCACGCAAAGUUAUGUCAACACGUGUUUGCCCAUCCUUUGCGCCAGCUAUACGACCGAUGGACCAUGGAAUGUAUUAAAUAACGUCUGGUAGAAACUAUCACCUGUGAAACAGCUGCUCCCCAACAAGCACAGGUGUGGAACCUCCAUAUUUUUGUCUACAGGUUGUUGUCAAAUUCCAAGUUUUAUUUGGUAAAUGGCAUACAUGUUUCCUUACAGAAAAAACGUCGAUUGUUCGUGGAAAUGUUUAUAAAAGCAUGAAAAAACCCGUUCAAUCCGUAUACUGACGUACUAAAGUUUCAGUCAUUAGCCAUUAAAUUAUGUGAGUGCACAACAGCACUCCAAAUGUCUGUCACAUGAGCGUUUGCUUCGAAGCCAUAUGGAAUGUUAUGUUAAGCGUCAAGCGUUACAUUAACAAGUGAUUACCAAAGUUACGUACCGGGGUGACAUUUUAGUGGUUAUAACAUUAGGAUUAGAUAUUUGAGCUCAUUUGCCCGAAAGACAAGUGAGCUUAUGUCGUGGCGCAGCGUUCUUCAUCCGUCCGUCGUUUUCAAUUUUAUAUUUACGGAGGUAUAACCCCUGGGGGCAGGGGGGCUGGACCCAAUAGGGGAACUAAAGGUUAAUAUUUCUCCUUUGGUUUGGUUGGAGAGAUUUCAACCAAAUUUGGUAAAGAGCAUCAUUUGGCACAGGGGACUCAAUGUUCUAUAAAAAGAGAGUAUGGGCCCCCAUGAGAGCAGAGGGGCUGGACCCAAUAUGGAGAACAUAGUGAUAAAUGUUUAUAAUCCGCUUCUUCAGCUUGAUUGGAGGGAUUUGGCCGAAUUUUAUGUAGAUCAUCCUUUGGUAAAGGGGACUCAAUUUUGUAUGAACGGAGGUUGUGGCCCCCUUGAGGGUGUCUCGAUUUUGUAUAAACUGAUAGUGUGGCACACACUAUCAGUUUAUACAAAAUCGAGACACCUUUGCCAUGGAUGCUCAACACCAAAAUCUGUUUAAAAACUUAUGGAGAAGGUACUCCCUAUUGGGUUUCCCCCCUUUUUUUGGGGCAGAGGGACGGGGUCCAAUAGGGGAAAUAAAGGUCAAUCCUUCUUCUUUAUAUGUUUGAUUGGAAGGACUUAAACAAAUAUUGGUCCAGAGCAUUCUUAGGAAAGGGGGACCACAUUUUGUAUACUAGUAAACGCAGAUUUUAAACAAGUGUUGUGUUGAGCAUCCUUGGGAAAGGGGGUCACACAUUUGUAUUUACAUAGGGUGUACCCGCACAAAGUCCCCCAUCCUCUUUGGCAAAGAAGUGGGUCUCAAUAAGGGCAAUUACGGUAAAUCUGUCUUCUUCUGUGAAUUAGUCAAGAGCAUACUUGGGAAAGGGGAACCAAAUUUUGUAUAAACGGAGAGUGUGACCCCCCUGAGGGCAGAGGGGCUGGGCCCAAUAGGAGUUACUUAACCACAACUUGUUUCGAGCGUCCUUGGGCAACGGGGAUUCAAUAUUGUAUAAACGGAGAGUGUUGCAGAGGAUUGGGACCCAAAGGGAGAAACUUCUCCAUUAGAUUUAAAAUAAAGUUUGUGUAGAGCAUCCAUGGGCAAAGGGAGCUCAUCCAGGAGAAAUUAAGAUAACUCUUUAUAAUCCUUCGUUUUCUUUUAGAUUAGGAGGACUUUAACCUAAAUUUGUGCAGAGCUGCCUUUGGCAAAGGGGAACCAACUUUCGUAUAAACGGAGAGUGUGGCCCCCAUGGGGGCAGAGGGGCGUGGCCCAAAAGAGGGCAUUAAACCAAUUUUGUUGGAGCAUCAUCGAGCAACUGGAAGUCAAUUUUGUAUAGACAGAUAAACCGAUGUGUGAUUUUCGUAGAGCCUCUUUUGGGAAAAAUAAGACUCAUUUUUAUAUAAACGAAGGGUGUUGUCCCCUCGAGACAAUCCCAAUGAAGGACUGGGGGUUGCUGAGAGACGGAGCCAAUAUUUUGAAAUAGUUGCAGUAAUAUAUAGAAUGACAAUUUUUUUUCAAUGGUUGCUUAAUAUUCAUGGUGAGUGAUUCAGGCCCUCUGAGCCUCUUAUAAUCUAUAGCGAGUAUGCAUAGGAGUGUAGAUAUGAGGAUUUGCUGCUGCAUUUUUGGAUUACUUUAUGACAUUCGAUCGAUACAUUUUUUUCAAUGGUUAUGGCCCUGCAUAACGGGUAAGCUGCUGGCAGGGUUCGGGAAGUGUCACAAAGAGUCUAAUUGGACAUGUAUACUGUACCAGACCGCGGACUGGCUACCACCAUUGGUCACUGGGCACCAAGACCAGUCACAAGAAACUUUUUUUUAUUUUUAAUGUAAGGCACUGCGUAGUUUUUUUUUGGGCGGUUGAAAUUCCAGCCCUAUAAAAAUAACACCAGAAAAUGUUAAUUUGAUUGUUAAAUAAUAGACAUUAGCUACGAUGGAGUCGAUAAAAUGUUAAUUUUGAUAAAGACCGUCUUUUCCCAAAACAAACGGUUUUUUUCGAUGUUUGUAAAUUCUGAAGCAACCCUUUAAUUAUGUCGUUUAAAAAUGAACAUUUUUUGUUAGAUAGUUGUUGAAAAGUAUACAGUAUAUUGAUUAAUUUUAAAGCGCGUUAGUCACAGCCUGUUCUGCAUUGCAAAUAGUUUGUGUAAAUGGAGUCUAUUUAAAGCAGAAUUCUUUAGUAAAACGUCGCAGUACAGACGUUUUCCGGAAGGAAAGUAGACCAACUAUGGAUUUCGCCCUGUGGUGUAGACACUUUUAUACCGGAAUACUGCACAGGAUGGCCAAUAUAAACCGAUAUGCUUAUUAUUUCCAAUGGUCUUUUCAAUUGUUGUAUGACUGACUUUUAUGUAUGUGGUGGUUAUUGUACAAUCUUACUGUUGAUAAAUAUCAUUGAUAUCUGUAUCAUGUAUGCAUUUUGACAAGUGAACGCGAAUGAAAGAAGGGCAGAGAGAGAGAGAGAGAGAGAGAGAGAGAGAGAGAGAGAGAG
rnacentral:misc_RNA from 1 species